ACUUGGGCCAAGGGAAUUCAAACU
rnacentral:miRNA from 15 species